UCUUAAUUAGUAUAAUAAAGUACAUUUAGCUUCCAACUAAAAAGUAAAUAAAUUAGAUUUUAAAUUAUUGAAUU
rnacentral:tRNA from 1 species